rnacentral:piRNA from 1 species
UGACAUUGCUCUUGGGUGGUCUCUGAUGGC